UACGUAGGUGGCAAGCGUUGUCCGGAUUUACUGGGCGUAAAGGGCGCGUAGGCGGCCUGCUAAGUCGAACGUGAAAUCCCUGGGCUCAACCCAGGAACUGCGUCCGAUACUGGUUGGCUUGAAUCCGGGAGAGGGACGUGGAAUUCCAGGUGUAGCGGUGAAAUGCGUAGAUAUCUGGAGGAACACCGGUGGCGAAGGCGACGUCCUGGACCGGCAUUGACGCUGAGGCGCGAAAGCCAGGGGAGCAAACGGG
rnacentral:rRNA from 1 species